rnacentral:rRNA from 1 species
UACGUAGGGCGCAAGCGUUGUCCGGAAUUAUUGGGCGUAAAGAGCUCGUAGGCGGCUUGUCACGUCGGAUGUGAAAGCCCGGGGCUUAACCCCGGGUCUGCAUUCGAUACGGGCUAGCUAGAGUGUGGUAGGGGAGAUCGGAAUUCCUGGUGUAGCGGUGAAAUGCGCAGAUAUCAGGAGGAACACCGGUGGCGAAGGCGGUUCUCUGGGCCUGUACUGACGCUGAGGAACGAAAGCGUGGGGAGCGAACAGG